CUCAAACGUGGAGAAGAGAACGUGUGUGCAGUGUAUGUAAUGACGGGAUUGUGUGAGAGAACCUGAAAAACCGGAUACUUUGUCACUGAAGAAUGCAAAUGAUCGUCAUUGCAUUGUAAUUGAUCUCCUGACUAGAAUCUCUUGGUGUCUGCUGCGUACAGGCGGUUUUAACUUUAGAUCUGUACAGUGAAUCCACCACAUUUUCAAAGUCUUCCUCUUCGCUGGACUACGCACAAAUCCAUUUAGGAUUUUUUUACCCAACCUUUUGGAUGAUGAGGACCCUUUGGAUUUUUGUUUUGUGUUCCUUUGAGGUACUCACUGCUCAACCCAAAAACGAGGACACAUAUAUUCUUUGUGAGACUUGUUUAGAAACAGCAAAAGAAAUGGAGAGGGUCCUGCAGGAAACAAAGGCAGAGAGCAGACAGGAUGUGAUUGAGAAACUGAUCAAUGGAGAAGUGUGUGAAAGAGCUCCAUUCCACAAGCAUAGCCAUCUGGCUGAAGACAAGCUGAGAUCUUUCUGCCAGAAACUGUUAGAUGUCUACCAUGUUGAGUUCCGCACAGCUUUGCAAGGAAAAGCACCAGAACGCAUGGACAUUGGUCUGUGUUAUGAACAUUCCACUGCAUGUGUUGGAGUGAAACGUCAAUCUUUCCAGGCUUUUCUCUUUAUGUUGGCAGGAAAACACCAAACCUCCUUUCAUGGACAGUCACAUUCAAAUGCUACUUCAAAACAAUAAAGACAAAGUGCGCAUGCCUCGUCCUGUACGACCCGCUACCUCUACAACCUCAAAAGAUGAAUUGUAACAUGUAUUACCAAAGUGGUGGGUUGUUUGAUUGAGGUCGUCAUGAUUUGGAUGAACUUUCAAGUCCGAGAAGUCCAGGAACAAUUACUUAAAUGUAUCCUGUCAUCAUUGGUUUUCUUAGAACUAUUUAAAUGCCACUCAACUACAUACAUUUAUGCAGCAGAUUUUAUUUGGGCAUUAAAAACAUUUGGGGAUUUGGGAUUACUGUGCCAGAAAUCAGGAUACUCACUGCACACACCCACACACACUCAUGUACACACCCACUUGAGAAGAAAGCUCUAUUUUCAAUUACUAUUAUGUAACACUUAUUUUGUUUUUAGAUUGGUUGGGACCAGUAUAGCAUGGGCAAAGUAGAUGUAAGUUAACUUGCUGGCUACAGUAGUUAUCAGAAAAUAUGUAUUGUCACUGGAGCCACAGCAGUCAUGCUGUACUGUUACUUCGGAACAGUUCUGUUGCAGAAAUUUUGGAUUGUCAAUUCAAAAUAUGCCUGGCUUAGUUUUUCAUUCUACAUAAUAGUUUGUUUACAUAUUUUGACCUCAGUAUGAACAAUACUUGAACAAAACUUCAGAUCAAAUGUUGGUAAUUGUAACCACACAUGUUGCUUGGUUUUAAUAUGGAUGCUGAUGUUAAAACUGUAAGGCUACUCGUGUAAGUGCCUUGGCUAUGUACCAUAAAGAUUAUUAUUGAUACAUUA